rnacentral:rRNA from 1 species
UCGGGAAUUUUGGGCAAUGGGCGAAAGCCUGACCCAGCAACGCCGCGUGAAGGAUGAAGUAUUUCGGUAUGUAAACUUCGAAAGAAUAGGAAGAAUAAAUGACGGUACUAUUUAUAAGGUCCGGCUAACUACGUGCCAGCAGCCGCGGUAAUACGUAGGGACCAAGCGUUGUUCGGAUUUACUGGGCGUAAAGGGCGCGUAGGCGGCAAUUCAAGUCAUCUGUGAAAUCUCCGGGCUUAACUCGGAACGGUCAGAUGAUACUGCUUUGCUAGAGUGCAGAAGGGGCAAUCGGAAUUCUUGGUGUAGCGGUGAAAUGCGUAGAUAUCAAGAGGAACACCUGAGGUGAAAGACGGGUUGCUGGGCUGACACUGACGCUGAGGCGCGAAAA